AUCUAUUGCUGCAAGCUAUCCCUCGCUGCUAAGCUAUCGCUGCCAAUCUAUCUAUCACUGCCAACCUAUCUAUCGCUGCUAAUCUAUCACUGCUGUCAAUCUAUCUAUCACUGCUAAUCUAUCUAUUGCUGCUAAUCUAUCACUGCUGUCAAUCUAUCCCUCACUGCUAAGCUAUCCCUCGCUGCUAAGCUAUCACUGCCAAUCUAUUGCUGCUAAUCUAUCGCUGCCAAUCUAUCUACUGCGGCGAAUCUAUCUAUCACUGCCAAUUUAUCUACCACUGCCAAUCUAUCUAUCGCUGCCAAUCUAUUGCUGCUAAUCUAUUGCUGCUAAUCUAUCGCUGCUGCCAAUCUAUCUAUCGCUGCUAAUCUAUCGCCGCUGCCAAUCUAUCCCUCGCUGCUAAGCUAUCUCUCACUGCUAAGCUAUCCCUCACUGCUAAGCUAUCUCUCACUGCUAAGCUAUCUAUCACUGCUAAUCUAUCGCUGCCAACCUAUCUAUCACUGCCAAUCUAUCUAUCGCUGCUAAUCUAUUGCUGCUAAUCUAUCACUGCUAAUCUAUCGCUGCCAACCUAUCUAUCGCUGCCAAUUUAUCUACCACUGCCAAUCUAUCUAUUGCUGCUAAUCUAUUGCUGCUGCCAAUCUAUCUAUCGCUGCUAAUCUAUUGCUGCUGCUAAUCUAUCUAUCGCUGCUAAUCUAUCGCUGCUAAUCUAUCGCUGCUAAUCUAUCGCUGCUAAUCUAUCGCUGCUAAUCUAUCGCUGCUAAUCUAUCGCUGCUAAUCUAUCGCUGCUAAUCUAUCGCUGCCAACCUAUCUACCGCGGCGAAUCUAUCUAUCACUAUCAUUACUAGUUCAAAAUAGAACUAGAACAUAAACACACUAAACUUCUUUUGAUAGGUAAUGAUUUUUGAUAACACUCAUAGCAUUAUAUCAUCUAUAUAGGGUAAAUCAUGGUCCCAUUUGGUCCCAUUUUAACAAAAUGGGACCAAAUGGGACCAGAAUCAGUAAUUUAUAAGAAGAACAUGACCUGGGACUAGAUUUAUAAUAUAAACAGUGUAAAGUGACUAAUUUAAUAAAC
rnacentral:sRNA from 1 species